ACUAUUUUGGCAGAUUAGUGCAAUAAAUUUAGAAUUUAUAUAUGUAAUGUAAUUACAAAUAGUA
rnacentral:tRNA from 1 species